CUUUGCCAUCCCGCUUCAACAGCAGCGAGUGUCCCACCAGGGGAAGAGCGGUGGCGACCGUCGGGAUCGCCCUCAUCUGCUGCCAUCUCCGCGCGUAGCUUGCCAGCCUCUGCACGAGGGUCAGCAGGAGGGUGGCCCCCGCCAGGGAGAGGGCGCUCGCCGCGCCCCAAAGCAGCAGCUUCUGCCCGACGAGCACCAGCCAGAGCCCGGUCAUCGCGCCGCGGUCCACUUCGCGCCGGCGGCCGCAGUGACCGUGAAGGGGACGCGGCCGCGCUGCUUGGGGAUGGCGGGGAGGGGCCCUCGGGCGGGUCUAGGCCCCUGGGGUUCACGUGUGCUGGUCCCGUGAGGAGUCCUGGACCCGCCCGCCAGGCUCACACCCUCAGGCUCCGGCCGGGGUAGGAGAGCCGGCAGCCCUGAAGGACCCGCCCCGGGACUUGCGCUUCCACACCCCCGCCCCGAGGCCGCAAGGGAAAGCGCCGCAGGGAGUAUCGCGGUGGAGGACGAGCGCCCACGUAACGCGCACCGGCUUAUUUGCUUGGUUCAAGCUGAAAGCGAAAGUCCGGAAAACAGCUUCUGGAGCUCAUUAGGGUGUUUUGAACGCAAGUGAAGGCCGUCGUGGCUGGAGAUGGGAGGAAAAGAAAGGCUGAGGCGCCUUAAUCUCGAUUCCGGUUCCUUGGUCUACAUUCUAUGCUCUUACCAAGUAGCAGGUCCUUAAGUUAUAGCCAAAGUGCUGGAAAAGAUGAAAUACUUAAGAAUGUACUGGAUUACUGCUUCAAUUAAACGUUUUCACUCACUCCCACCACAAGCAAGGAAGACAAUGAAGUUUCUGUUUUGUUCACCACUGGAAAGGUGAAACAGUACCAGGUACAAAGCAAGGAGGUACUUGAUAAAUCUAUGCUACAUGGAGUAUAAAGAUAUUACCUACAUAUGAUCCAGCUAACACAAUGUCCAUUCCAGGAAGACAAUGAAGUUUCUGUUUUGUUCACCACUGGAAAGGUGAAACAGUAUCAGGUACAAAGCAGGUGACCCAGUGACACCAGGUCUCUAUUGUUCUCCAACAUCACGUGUCAGUACAGGUCCUUCUGAGCAGGGCCCAGUGGCUGCCAUUCCUUCCAGUCUCUUCUAGGUCUGCUCUAAAUUUCUGUUCAGAACUCUGUCUCCAGUAAAGGGUGUCCAAGAAAUGAUGAUAUCCAAGUCCUGGAUCCUCCUACUUCUUUCACUUGAUCUCGCUUGCUCCUGGGGAGCCAGAACCUGUGGGCUCGGAACUUUCAGAAAUCGCAGUUUCAAAACACCAUUCCCGUAUAAUCGCAUAGUUAUACAUUCACCACCGUAAUCUAUAUGAGGACAUUUCCACUUCUUCUGCAAGGAAAGAUGAAAAAGGAGAAAAAAGAAAAUAGAAAAAAAUGAAG